rnacentral:lncRNA from 1 species
GGCAGGGAUUUGGGAUUCACCAGGGCACAAGGCGACGUGCGUCUGUCCUCACGGAGCCUAAGUGCUGGUGGAGACGGACAGUGCAGAUGCCAACCGCAAAUGACGAGGCACUUGCAGAAGUGACAGGCUCAUGGCCAGAGAUGACACAACAGAGAAAAUGAAUCAAGAUGAAAACAAGAAUAAGAAUAAUUUCCCUUCCUGGCCGGGCGCGGUAGCUCACUUUGGGAGACCAAGAGAAUUCAUGGCUGGGACCAGCUAGUCCUUGGCUCCACCUUCUUGGGAGCAGAUUAAAUACGACUUCAAGCCAGUGAGGUGAUUUGAGUCCCAGCAGCCUCAUCUGCCAAGUCAACCCCAGCACUGCAUUGAGAAAGGUCAGAGAUUCGGAGUGCAGACAAGAGCUGUCCCAUGCCAGAGCCCAAACUUGUCCCCUGGUUGGGAAGCUGAGGAGUGAUUCUUUGGUUCUCAGAUGCUCCGAGGGUGCCUCAGGUGGCAUGCAGUCAGUGCACACAUCCCAGGUAUGUUAGCUGCACCCCGGCCAGCCUCCCGAGUUUGGGGUGCUGCCGACACAGGAUGCGUCUACUGCGCAUCAUGAUAGGCCUCCCCAAGUACCCUGUCCUGCUGGUGCCCUGUCUUCUGACCCCUCAUCAGAUCUUGGUGCCAAGCCCUGACAACCACUUCACUCUGGAGGCCGUUCUCAGAGCCUAUUUCACAGCUCAUUCAGAAGGAAAAUGAGGGGGCCUUUUCCAUUUCCAGUAUUAAAUGAUUUAAUUCACAAGGGACUUGGUCAACACAAGUAUCCCAACAGAGCCCAGGCCCUGUAUCAUUUGCAAUUUACCAUUCUGAUUAAAACCAACCCAACCCCAUCAAGCUCUGCAUGGGGUGAACCAGCCGAAACUGCACCACAGGCCCCAGCAGGACAUCCGGCCCAGGGAACUGAGGCCGGGGAGGGGAGGGGGAGCCGGGAGUGCCUCUGCCUCAUUUCAGGAGACUGAUAUGAAUGGUAGGAAAUCCGGUCCCCCCUUAAGAUGGAUGUUUCUGUAGAAAUACAUCUGAUAAAUGUUUAAUUACAUUUUAAGAGGGACCAUUAUUCAUGGAACAGUCAUUAGCCCCAGA